ensembl:lncRNA
AGGAUGAAUAAAGGCCUCAACUGCCCUGGAAGAUGAGGGAUCCCAGGCAGAGGACAGGUGUAAAGGCUGGCGGGCUCAGCGGGCAGUUGCCAAAGAGAGAAACUUAAAGUAACAUUCCACCUUUGGCUAAUUGGAAAUGCCCACUACCUUUUGGGAAGAUUUACUGGCCAUUUUCAGAAGGCCUGUGUAUAUAAUAUGAAAAAGCUGCUCUCAACAUUCCCCCAACCUUUUAAAAGAAAACUUGCUGCAUGUGAUAAAGUAGUUAGAAAAACCACACGUCUUGGAAACGCCCAUUUAUUUUAAAAAAUGACAGAAAAGAAACGUUUUCUGAAAGUGACUUUGAAAUGAAGUUGGGUAGACCACCUGGAGAAGCGACACUGGGAGUGAUUCUUGUCUGCAUUUGUUCUGUGAGUUAGAGGACUCGGAGAAGACGGAAGAGAAGAAUGUCCAGUACCAGACUGGUUACAUGUAGAAGAUGUUGUUUGUAUUGUAACCAUUGUUUUGUGUGUGCAUUUUAGUCCUCAUUAGUAUAUAUAUAAUUGACAAUGCUAAGUACUUUAUUGAACCAUCUGGUCUUUUUUGAGAUAAUUCUCAAGUGCCUGAUACAUGUUAAAAAGUAGUAGUAGUAAAAUAACACAUUUUGUAAAUUUCUUUUUUGUUUGAACUCACAUGAAGUGCUAUUUUGUGGGGGAAGUAGGCAAACCCCUCUUGAGUAGUACACAUUGUUUUUGCACUGGUUCUCGGAAGAGAAGGAAAUGCAGAGCACUGUGCUAGUGCACUUAUAGCAAGGCAAGUUACUAUUGCCCCUUAUGUCUGUGCAUUUUUACUUUGCUGUGUAUGUAGGGUAUGUAAAAAGAUAAAUGAGACCUUAUACAGCAUCUAGUCUUGCUAGAUGUUAAAGAGGUUCCCAGUGUAUGACAGUAGAAUUAGUAAACUAACAUGUUGUAUACACUUUUGUGUUAAAAUUCAUUAGAAUGUUCUUAAAACCACUUAGUAAGUGAAAUUGUUAAAGCCUCUUGUAAGUAUUACAUAUCCAUAUAUCUGUCCCCGGUGUUAAAAAGGAUGGAAAGGGGAAAGGGCUCUAGACAAGAGUGUUCCUAUUUGGAUGAUACUUUAAAAUUUAGCCUUUGUUAAGUAUAUGUGUGCAAUUUACUCAAUCCCAUUAUAUAUGUGAGACAUUUUAAGUUCUUACUGGAAACAUCUAGUCUUUCUAGAUGUUUAAAGUUCAUGGGCCAGGGAUGUAGCUCAGUGAUGCCACCACCUGCCUCACAAGCGCAAGGUCCUGAGAGUUCAAUCUCUGGCACCAAAAAUAAAUAAAAUAAAGUUCACACAUGUAGAAGUCAAGGGCUAAUAUAAUGCGCUUUAAAUAUUUUUUAUUACUUCACAGGAAUGGUUGUAUUUUGAAUGAAACUGUCAAACUUGAUGUCUUGGAGAGUAUGCUGGGGAGCAGGAGGGGAAGUAUGCAGAGAGGGAGGUUUAUGUGAGUUCAGAUUGUCUUGCUGUUGUUCUAUAUGUACAUGUUAAUACUGCUGGGUGUUAAAGGAUAAGUUUUACUGCCCAAAUUAUGUUAGAAAUAGCAAAGUAGUUUUUAGGAAGAACUGUCUUCUGGAAGUGACCUUUGUUACAGCCACCUCUUGGAGCUAGAUGUCCUAAACUUAAGUUGCUGAAGUGAAGAGGGAAAAGGGUGGGUGAGGGUGGUAAGAGGUCUUUGCUAGAUCUCCAUAUCUGGAAGAUGAUUUUAAAUUAAAACCAUAGGGCUGUGGGUGCAUAUUUGGUAAAGUACUUGGGCGUAGAGCACAAAGUUCGCACCAUUGCACAGCAUCUAAGCUUUAUAGAUGUCAGGGGUGACAAUGUACCAUAAAAACUUGAGGUAGUGAAUUAGGCAACAUUUAAAGUGUCUUUGUUAUAAUUAAUAGAAAAGAUGCAUCUUGGACUUGGAAUUGUUAUAAUACUUUUAAGCAGUAUGCAUCAGGACUUGUUGUUAGGCUGGCAGCAGAGGGGCAGAAAUAAGCACACAGAUGUGAGCAAAGUGUUCAGAUUUAAAUUUUGGUGAAAGGAAUCAAAAUGUGUAGAAAUACAUUAAUAAUUCAGUGGGAAUAUGCCUUCUUGCUAAUAUCUUGAUAGAGAUCUGAUAACUCUCAGAUACAUAGCUUGGUGUACUCUGUUGCUUUAUGUCUCACUUUAAAUUGAGCAUUAAGGAAAUACAGUAUUGUAAUUUAACUUUGCCAAUACUUCUAUAUAGAGGCCUAUUGCCGUUUUUAUCUUCAGUGAAAUUUUUGUUCCCAAGAAAGGCAGGAUUAUUUAUUCUAACAGAUUGAGUUGGUGUAGUGUGUUCUUAGUUAUCAAAAAUACCCUUGUAGCUUUGGGAUUUUGAAUUGAUGAAUAUUCAUGAUGUGUAGAAAAGCAUGGCACACACUGUACAAACUCAGUCACACAAAAUGGCAUGUUGUAUAUGUACGCACAGGACCUAGAAGAACACAUCCAGCUAAGCUGCUUAUGAUUGCGAAUGACUUUGUUCUUUGCUUCUUGAGUUUUUGUUUCCUGUAAUGCACGUUAACUUUAAAAAAUAAAAAUUAUUUUAAAAAACUCAUAAGGAGUCCCCAUUGCUUGUGGGAUAAAGUUAGCAUAGUCUGUAGGAGCACAUCAUUCAUGUUCCUGGAAGUCUUAUAUCUUCAAGACACUCCCUUGCCUAGGCACCCCUCCCCCACACAUGUUCUGCUGUUCUUCAAGAUGGCCUUGCACUUGGGUGGUUCCAUGGUUUGCUCACGCUGGUCUACCACUACUUCCCUUUUGACAAUGGUUCACUUUGCAAAAUUAUUCUUCAGAACUCUACUUAAAUUCUAGUUUCUAUAUAGUCUUGCCAGUAAGAAUGUGACAGCCCAGAAUUAAAGUGUUCCCCUUUUUUUCCAGUUCCUACUUGUUCCUCAUAUUUGGAAACCACUUGUUAGCUGAAAGCCUUCUGGAUUGAGCUUGGGUUUAUAUCACGUCCACAACCACAGGAUGCAGCAUAGUACUACCUGACAUGGAGCAGAUACUUAGAAGAUGUCAGUUGAAUAAAACAGAAGUUCAGCUUUUCAUGGUCCUUCUUAUAUGACAUUACCAUCACAGGCACCAAAUAGUCUGGGGUUCCACAGUUGGAAGUUUCUAUUGUGGUUGACUAAACCAGAUGGUAGAGGUCAGAUGCAAGUACCAAUCAUCCCCAAUUAGGCUAGUGGAAUAGCACAGGGUUCUUAUUCUCAUCUUGGACAUGAGGUUUAUGAGACAUUGGCCUCCAGAUGUGGGAAUAUAGUAUGUCUCUAGGUGCUGUUGGUGUAAUCUGCAUGGGCUGGGAACCCAAGGACAGACAGAGGAGGCUCUUGUAGGUCCCUUCUCAGCUGAACAUAAGGCCAGGGCCCAAUCCUCUCAUGCUGAUGCCC